AGUCGUCAUCUCUGUGUUAGCUAACGUCCUUUCUUGUUUCGUGAGUGUGCCGUGUCAGUGCGGCACAGCACAGGAACUCGUGGCGGCGACAUGCCAAACGGGCUGCUUGUGUGUCUCCCUCGUUUGAUGCACGGCGUCGGACUCGUCGCUGACAUAACAGUGCUGCCUCUUUGACAGCACAGCGCGUCUUCGGCAUCUCCUCGAAAGCUACUUUGACCCACCGCAUGCUCGCUUCUCUUCUAACCAGGGGGGAAGAGGAGCGCGCCGCCGACAUCAUGGGGUUGCGUGUUCGUUUUCACUUCCACUGUCGCGGUUGCCAGGACGGAUGAGGAAUGCCUGUUUCGGCUGGACCGUCCGGUCUUGUCCGCGCUGCUCAACCAGGCUGGCGGGUUCUGCACGGUAGGGCUGGUCGCUGGCUACCACUACCUCAUCUCCAGCGCUUGCACUUGUGGCCGGAGUCAAUGGAUGAAGACCAACGCAACGCUCUUUUUUUGGUGACUCUUGACGCUGUCACGCUCUCCAGCAGUGCUCGCCGACUCAAUGCGGAAUUCACGCGCCUGCAGUCGCAGGGACGCGGCGCAGAUGAGCAGACCCGCAAACAAGAUUCGGUGGGUGGUGGCUUUGACGGCUUUUGUGAGGCGGAUACUGGAGCCGCAGGCACGCGCAGACUCUCGAGUAGCUUGUAGAGGCGCACACUGCGGCCGCCGGCCUGCCGCUGUACCCCGCUGCAGGCCAGGUGCUCCGCACCGGGUUCCAAAUUCAUGAGGAGAGUCUCCAUCGGAUUCGAAGCGUUGGACAAGGUCACAACACCGGUGAUCCUCGAAUCCGCUCGAGCCCAUCGCGGGAUGUGUACACGGUCACACCUUAGCCGUCGACCCGAACGGUGUUGUAGGGUGAUUCCCUGAGAACCGCGGCGGCUCAUGUACGAGGCCCAAUCGGCGAAGGACAGCCGCGAUUGCCACGAAGCCGUCUGAGAGGCGGCAAACUGCCCUCAGAAUUCUUUCUCCCUUCAGCGUUCUCCGAGGGAUGAUUGUUUUCAAGCGCAUCUAUGGGGGAAGGCCACCGCAUCGAUUCUCGGCCGAUGCCGUGCCGUGUUCCGCUACAAUCCUCCCCCUCCCCCGCGCACUGCAAUCUGACGUACCCUACAUCAAUCAACUGUACAGCUAACAAUGGGCAGCGCAGCGGCGACCGCCCAGGCUGUUUCCUCUACCCUCUUUACUCACUCUCACGCUGGAAAGGCCACCGACGACAUUCGAGGCACGCGCAGAUGGGCCCUGUUCACAGAAAACGAGUGAGGCAUCAGCAUGGAUACGUACGAUCAGGGUAUGCGAGGUCCGGCCCUGUCGAUAGCGUUUUCGUAACGGAUAAAGGCGACCCGCGAGUGUCGCGAAGACGUGGUUGAAUAUUUUUGCCUCUGCGCGGCGGAAUGCUCAGAAGCUCACAAACCGAGCAUGAGCCCUCCUCCCUGCUAUGAGCAUCACGUUCUUAUCCUUUCCUCUCUUCUCUAUCCACCCAAUAACGCGGCACUGCUGUGCGCGUUUUUUGCAUGCGUUGAGGUGUCGCGCACGCUACUGUUGUGCACAGCUGUCCACUCGAAGUUUUUUUUUCGCUUUUCGUUCUUUUUUUGCAGCCCUCUGCGUCUUCGGAUGGAGGCUAUCCACUCUGCCGAACUCGAAGAGAGAAACGCGAACUGAACGUGACGGCUUCAGGUGCGUGUAGGUCUAUCUCUCCAUAUGCGUCAGUGGACGUUUCAGUGCCCGUGAGCGCUAUCGCUGCUUGUAAUGGGUAUCGACGCCUUCUGCCUUGUCGCGUGUCUCCGAAGUUUCUUCGCCCCCCCCCCGCCCUCUUUUUUUUCUCUCGCCAGCCUCCUGCUGCAUUUGCUAAGUUUGCGUUCCACCCCAGCCUCCUGUUCUCGCCAUAUGGCUUCGUGGGGUUCCUUUUUGUUUCUUGCUCGUAUCUCGCACCCGCUCUGUUUUGAAGCUGUGAUGCCGUUCUUCCUUCGGUUAUAACUAUGAAUUCUUCGCCUUUUUGUUCUUCCUGCUGCGGCUCGAGCGAUGUCUUCAUGACAUGUUGAGGAGGCACACCACACAGUGCCUGGUGUCUCAGCGUCCAGUGCGCCCACGCCAACGCUGUGUGUGUGUGGGGAGGAGCCCAUCAGCACCCCUCCCCUCUCCUAUCCGCUGUCAGUGCGGAGCCGCUUCUCGCCCUGGCCCUGUCAGGGGGAUGCAUCGCUACGGAUGCCGGCGGUGUGGGCCUGGAUCGGCGCAGGCGCUGGAGCGACCUGCGGCGGUGCGCGCGUUUAUAUCAUCGAUAUGGUAGGCACAAGUGCCAACGUGACUCGAGCGUGUCUCACCGGGCCGUGCCCACCUACUAGGGGGGGAGGGACCCUGAGGCGCCUCGAGUGGGGAUGCGGGAGGUGGCAGCCGGCAUGAUGCGGGUGCGGCUGUGAGGCGACCUGCGCAGCGGGUGCUGGGUAGAGUGUGAGGCAGGGGCCGCACUCACACGGCGGAGUCGGUGCAUUGCCCUAACGCGUGCCUGGUAGCGCGUGGCACAGAGAGAUGGACCUGUGGCGGGCCUGGCAGAGUGGAGUCUCACUCACGCUGUGGGGCAGAGAGUGCACGUCUUCAGGCAAGAACUUCGAGCUCACUCAAAAUGGACGCACCGCUGCUUCUGCGUCGUUGUAAUUUUCUGACCUCUCUGGGGGAGAAUGAAAUUUGCAUUAAGCGCUCGCGGCUUCGGGGCAAAAGGGCCUCUGCCCUUUGCCCAGCGGCGGUGUUGACUGCCCCAGGCUUCACGGCGCGCAUGGGUUGCAUCAUCGAAGCUUGCCGCGCUGAAGGAGAAGGUAGCGGCGGUACUGCGGCGAGGGGUGCGGAAAGCGAAUGCGCAGUGCCUUCUUCAUGAUGGAUCAUCUUAUCUGCGUAGCGCUUGUUGGCCUUGUAUUCCUUUGCGAAACCUCCCUCUCUCACGUCUCCCAUCAUCUUUUUCUGCUUGCCCGCCAUUAUCUGGUUGUUUCACGUACAUGACAG
rnacentral:misc_RNA from 1 species